GGGCGCAUAGCUCAGUAGGUAGAGCAACGGCCUUUUAAGCCGUGGGUCGCAGGUUCGAUUCCUGCUGCGCUCA
rnacentral:tRNA from 1 species